CUACGAAGGGUGCAAGCGUUAAUCGGAAUUACUGGGCGUAAAGCGCGCGUAGGUGGUUCGUUAAGUUGGAUGUGAAAGCCCCGGGCUCAACCUGGGAACUGCAUCCAAAACUGGCGAGCUAGAGUACGGUAGAGGGUGGUGGAAUUUCCUGUGUAGCGGUGAAAUGCGUAGAUAUAGGAAGGAACACCAGUGGCGAAGGCGACCACCUGGACUGAUACUGACACUGAGGUGCGAAAGCGUGGGGAGCAAACAGGAUUAGAUACCCUAGUAGUCC
rnacentral:rRNA from 1 species